rnacentral:rRNA from 1 species
UCAGUACGGUCGGAAAUCGUACGUAGAGUGUAAAGGCAAAAGAGAGCUUGAUUGCAAGACAUACAGGUCGAGCAAGGAUGAAAAUCGGACUUAGUGAUCCGGUGGUUCUGCGUGGAAGGGCCAUCGCCCAACGGAUAAAAGCUACCCUGGGGAUAACAGGCUUAUCUCCCCCAAGAGUCCACAUCGACGGGGAGGUUUGGCACCUCGAUGUCGGCUCAUCACAUCCUGGGGC